rnacentral:lncRNA from 1 species
CAAUAUUCUCAUCAAAGCAGCCAGAGUGAUACAGCAGAAGGUCAAGAGACAGAAAAAAGCACUAAAUCCUGGUUUAUAAGAGACAGGCAGACUUCAAGGGUUGUCUCCUAAGACAAUAAGUAAGCUCAAGGGGAAGCUUAUAACCAGUAAGCUUCAGUGGUGAAAAAAGAGCCUAGCCAGGCCCAAAUGGGAAAUCCUAAAGAAAUAGACAUAUAUUAAAAGAAAUAGUAAAUUCAAGAUGGGGAGCAUUCAAGUGUGCAGAGGGUGAGCAAGACUUUAGUCAGAAAAAAAAAAUCUACUCAUACACAAAAAAGCACACUCCAAGCAUUAGUUUUUCAUAUGCAGGGAGUGAUGAGUCAGCAUUACUCUUGCACCAGAAUAUACAUGCAGGAGGGAAGUCCUAUGUGUGCAAUAAGUGAGGGCGGGGCUUUAGAAAUAAGUCACACUUCACAUACCAGAGGACACACUCAGGGAAGAAGGCUUUCUUGUGAAAGGAGUGUGGGUAAGACUUCUUAUAGAAGGCAAUUCUCACUGCAUAUCAGAAAACCCACUCAGGGAAGAAGUCUUUUGUAUGCAAGGAGUGUAGGUAAGACUUUACCCAAAAGUCAACUGUGCAUGAGAGAACACACUUGGCAGAGAAGCCUUAUAGAUGCCAGGAGUUGUGGACAAAGGAUUAGGUAUAAAUCAUCCUAUGAUAAACACUGGAAGGCACACUCAGGGGAGAAGGCUUUGUUGUGCAGGGAGUAUGGGCAAGACUUCAGCUUGAAGACAUCUCUUACCAGACACCAGAGGACACACCCAGGGAAG